rnacentral:rRNA from 1 species
GACGAACGCUGGCGGCGUGCCUAAUACAUGCAAGUCGAGCGGACAGAAGGGAGCUUGCUCCCGGAAGUUAGCGGCGGACGGGUGAGUAACACGUGGGCAACCUACCCUGUAGAUCGGGAUAACAUCGAGAAAUCGGUGCUAAUACCGGAUAAUCAUUUGAAGUGCAUGCUUCGAAUGUAAAAGAUGGCUCCGGCUAUCACUACGGGAUGGGCCCGCGGCGCAUUAGCUAGUUGGUAAGGUAAUGGCUUACCAAGGCAACGAUGCGUAGCCGACCUGGGAGCGUGAUCGGCCACACUGGGACUGAGACACGGCCCAGACUCCUACGGGAGGCAGCAGUAGGGAAUCUUCCGCAAUGGACGAGAGUCUGACGGAGCAACGCCGCGUGAGUGAUGAAGGUUUUCGGAUCGUAAAGCUCUGUUGUUAGGGAAGAACAAGUGCCGUUUGAAUAAGGCGGCACCUUGACGGUACCUAACCAGAAAGCCACGGCUAACUACGUGCCAGCCGCCGCCGUAAUAC